UACGUAGGUGGCGAGCGUUGUCCGGAAUUACUGGGUGUAAAGCGCGUGUAGGCGGCAGGCCAAGUCGGUGGUGAAAGCGCCCGGCUCAACUGGGCGAGGUCCAUGGAAACUGGUCAGCUGGAGGACGGUAGAGGCGAGUGGAAUUCCCGGUGUAGUGGUGAAAUGCGUAGAGAUCGGGAGGAACCCCUGUGGCGAAGGCGGCUCGCUGGGCCGGUCCUGACGCUGAAACGCGAAGGCGUGGGGAGCGAACGGG
rnacentral:rRNA from 1 species